UCCCUGGUGGCUCAGACGGUAAAGCGUCUGCCUGCAGUGCAGGAGACCCGGGUUCGAUCCCUGGGCUGGAGGA
rnacentral:tRNA from 1 species